rnacentral:rRNA from 1 species
UACGAAGGGGGGCUAGCGUUGCUCGGAAUCACUGGGCGUAAAGGGUGCGUAGGCGGGUCUUUUAAGUCAGGGGUGAAAUCCUGGAGCUCAACUCCAGAACUGCCUUUGAUACUGAAGAUCUUGAGUUCGGGAGAGGUGAGUGGAACUGCGAGUGUAGAGGUGAAAUUCGUAGAUAUUCGCAAGAACACCAGUGGCGAAGGCGGCUCACUGGCCCGGAUACUGACGCUGAUGCACGAAAGCGUGGGGAGCAAACAGG